rnacentral:tRNA from 1 species
GUACCAGAUUAAUACUUGGUUUGAAGCCAGGUUCACUAGUAUUUUACUAGCUGUUACU